GUGUGUGUGUGUGUGUGUGUGCACUUGUUUUUGUUACCAUGGAAGGCCCAAACGCAGGGAGCCCACCAACAAAGUGGGGCUCUGUGUCUUUGUGGGUUCCAAAAUCCUGGACCCCACAUGGGAAACCACUCUAAAGCAGCUUGGGAUGCUCUCCUAACAUGCCUCAUGCUUUUUUUUCACUUACCCCACUUGGUAGCAAUGAUUGGAAAAGUGUGUGCACAGUGUGUUUGCUCAGUAGAGACCCCUUGUCUGUGGGAAGUGGUACUGCAAGUAUACACACUACAGGAAGUGUGUAUCAUUGAGCCCGCCUGGUCCAACUUUUGACCAAUAAGAGUGGCCGAUAUCCCAAGAAAAUAUGUAAUUUCCUGAAGUUUCAGAAAGUGGUUUUUGUAUAAUUCCUGUUAUAAAAUAUUAUAACAGCACUAGGUAUUACAACCAAAUUAAAGAUUUAAAGCAGGUAAUUAUUAUUUUAGUAAGCAUAGCAACUAAAACAAUAGUGUAAACAUUUGCAUAAGCCCCUGUGAUAAUUCAUUGUCAUUUUCUUUAUUAAAAUUCCUAUAUUACAAUUGUAAUUAAUCUACAUGCUAUUUAAUGUUCAUUACACUUUUGUGCUUUAUAAAAAAUACACUCAUUCUUUAGACUUAUUUAGAAAAAAAAUAUCUUGUGCAUUUUUUAUAUUCUGGACAUAAGAAAAAUGAAGGUAUAAAUAAAUAGUUAUUUAAUAUUUUCAAUCAGUUUACUUAUUAGUUUAAUCUGCAGGUUUGUUAGCUACAGGUAUGUUAGCUUCAAGCGGCUAACAACGCCAGCUUUACGGCACUUUAUACGUUUACAACAUUUUUACGGCACUUCAUAACGUGUGACGGCGCCAGGCUGAAACUGCUCUAUGUGAGGAGGAAACGCUGCAAAGGAAGACGAGACGCUACUCAGAACCAAACACAACAUACGUGGUGAGUAAAUUUACAGCAUGUAAAUACUAAAUACAAGAAACUGAUGUGGAAAUGCUUUUAAUCCAGACUCCGAGGGGGUUGUACGCAAUGAUUUAGGCUUCCCAUUCGGUAUUUUGUCACUUCGGUGGCGUAAGGAUUUCCCCUAAAAGUCCGGCGUUUUAACUUGUCAUUCAUUUUAGCUUACAGUGAUUUUAAACACAGUGGUGUAAAAGGAAACAACAGAAUGUAUAGUUGCUCCGUGUUAUAUUCGGGGUGAAUUCCAUGUUUUAAUAUUCCAUAACAGCCGAUCCCAGAACCGGACUCUGGCCGUAGUUGCUCGCCGAAACUUCUUAAAAACUCGCCAAACACUUGUUAAAGCUCAGUGUUAUGUCUGUGUGUCUCUGUAUGUUUCGAGAGGUUUUUUUUACGUGAAAGAAUGCUGCAGUUUAAUAAAAUAAGCAUUUUGACGCGAAUAAAACUAUCAAGAACGCUAGCACUGUAUGCUAAGAACGUUAGCAUAUGUUCACUUUUAAAACAGACUCAUAAUAAAAAUGAGUUGGUAGCUCCUUGAAAUUAAAAUGAGUUAUAUUGGUAAAGCUAUUGAAAUAACUUCACUUAGGCUGUUGAUAUUGACAUAACUAUCAUUUAAUUCAGCAGCCACGUGACGUCAUACGUUAGCGUAAUAAUAAUACAUAUUUACAGGUGCCAUUCAAAAGACAAAAUGUCACCUUACAAAUAAAGUAAACCAUCAAUAACAACAAACCAGACACAAACAUCAAAUGUAAUGUCUGGAUUUACAAAGAGUAAGCAGUCUUGAUUAGAUUGGUUGUAAGUCUGGAUAUAAACAGGGAGAGUCUCAGUGUUGCUGAUGUUUGUGGCCCUGUCCACAUGAAAACAGGUUUGGAACUAUUUGUAUUCUUGGUUGGGUAUACAUUUCUAUCAUCUAUGACUUAAUGUAGACAUAGCCAGAAGGAUUCAGAGUUUGGGAGCAGAGGUGGAGAAACCUCUGCUCCCCAUGGUGCUGAAGUGAGAAGAGCUUGCACUGAGGUGCAUAGAAUAGGAGGAUAUGAGGAGGUGGCAACGUGAAUCAGAUCGGACUUUGUUUGCAAACAGAAGAAUUCUGAAUUCCACUCUGAAUAUGUAUAAAGCUGCAGUAGAACUGGUGUGAUGAAAUAAAGAUGUUCCAGUGAUGAUCUGAGCUGUGGAGCAAGCUACAUCUUAGGUAUACAGUUAUGGUGGAGCUCGUAGCUGCCCCUUCACCCCUGGUGCUUCAAGUUUGGAUGCAGCACUAUGGCUUUGCUGGUCUGUGUUGGACAUGUUACUUUUUAAAAACGCUAGUUAUAGUUGCAAGUUAUUCUCAUAUAAUUGUCUCUUUGGUUGGGUUGGAGCACCCCUAUUGGAUAAUGGUAGGGGAAAUGCCACUUUUGAACUAUUUAGAGUUUCUCCAUCUAGUUUUCAGUCUGUGCAUCCUAAACACCUACCCACUUAAUUAAAGGGCUGUUUCAGGCCUUUUUUGGAUUUGAUAGGAACUGUGACUGGUUAAAAGUACCAAAGCUCAGCUUCCUUCUGGCAAACAUUUUCAUUAAUAUAGGCAGAUUUUUUGAAAGAGAUUAUAGAAAAAUAUUCUGUGUUUUUUUUAUUCACUCUUGUUCUCUUAGUUCUCCAUCUGGCCAGUUUUAUUCCUUCAGACUCCAUACAGUGCAUGAUUACAAAUCUUUUUAAAUUAAUAUAGAGUGCUUAUAUAUAUUAUAAUGCUUAUUAGUUGUCUGUGUCAUGUUUAAAAUUUUUUUUUUAGCGCCAAAAAUGUCUAAAAGGAAGGCAAGAAAAAAGCCUGCUGAUGAAGCAACCUUUUACAUUCAAUUUUCAAAGGACAAACCAGGAUUAAUGGAAAGAUUUAUUGAUGAUCACAAAGGAAGGGGUGUGUUUGCUACCCAGCCCAUUGAACAAGGAGAUUUCGUCUUAGAAUACAGGGGUCAACUUCUAUCAGCAGAUAAAUGCCAAACAAGAAAGUACUCUGAAAAGGAGAGUACAUUUCUCUUUGAGUUUGAAUGGCAGAAUCGUCACUGGUGCAUUGAUGCUUCAAUAGAGGAUGGCUCUCUGGGAAGAUUAGUGAACGACAACCACAAGUCUCCAAACUGCAACAUGAAAAAAAUAAUAGUAAAUGAUCAACCCCAUUUGUGCCUGUUUGCCAUCAAAAAAAUAGAAAUAGGAACUGAAAUUGAUUACAACUAUGGUGAUUCUAAAUGGCCAUGGCGUGAAAAAGCUCCUACUGCUGUAGCUGAGCCAGCCAGAACCUCGUGGG